rnacentral:rRNA from 1 species
UGGGGAAUUGUUCGCAAUGGGCGCAAGCCUGACGACGCAACGCCGCGUGGGGGAUGAAGGUCUUCGGAUUGUAAACCCCUGUUGGGUGGGACGAACACUUCCGUGGUGAACAGCCAUGGAGACUGACGGUACCACCUGAGGAAGCCCCGGCUAACUCUGUGCCAGCAGCCGCGGUAAUACAGAGGGGGCAAGCGUUGUUCGGAAUUACUGGGCGUAAAGGGCGCGUAGGCGGCCUGUUAAGUCAGACGUGAAAUCCCUCGGCUCAACCGGGGAACUGCGUCUGAUACUGGCGGGCUUGAAUUCGGGAGAGGGAUGUGGAAUUCCAGGUGUAGCGGUGAAAUGCGUAGAUAUCUGGAGGAACACCGGUGGCGAAGGCGGCAUCCUGGACCGACAUUGACGCUGAGGCGCGAAAGCCAGGGGAGCAAACG